CACCAAUCAAGCCUGGCUUGGUCUUGGGGCACGGGGGUGACCCGGCCCUCAACGUCUCCGGCUGGAGCGUCCCGAUCGCAGCGUUGUGGCACACAUGUUCGCUGGUGAGACGGGCGGUCCGCGGCCGCGAAACCCAUCACA
rnacentral:misc_RNA from 1 species